GUGGGAAUCACAGCACUUACACAGACGAGCCCUCAGGGGGUUUGCUAAGCACUAAAAUCACCAUUCAAAGGCAUGCAAUACCUUGUUUGACCCUUCUGGUCUUGUUUGGCUGACGUGGGCGUGUUUUUGUUUUUACACUCUUUCCUGUCAUAUAUUGUCCCUUUUUUUUUUUCCCCUCUCCAGCAAUGUUGACUGUUCCAUCUGCUUAUUUAUCACCCACAGUUAGAACCUGAAUUUCAAUUACCAAUCUGCUCUGCCGGGUUCUCUCUUAAGCGAGGCAUUGAAAGCUCCAACAAAGCUUUAACACAGAAAACCGCUUGUAAUGCUGCUGUUAGAGCUUCUCCAUCACAUCCACGAGCGAAAUGAAUACUUCUGCUAUCAAGAUGCAUCUGAUAAAUUAGGUUUAGUCCUCCUUGACGGCAGCGGGUAGAAGGCAUCUCAGCACAGAUAGAAUGAUUUCGAAUGGCUGAGAUGGAAAAUGCUCUUUGCUUCGGAGAUUCAAAAGACACUGAGAACUCAUAUAGUGAGGAAUGAUUUAUCUAGGAAGUGGGAAUAGCAGUCUCUGGGGCAGUGAGAGCCCUCGUCCAAACCCCACUGAUGUGGGAUUAAAGUGAAGCUCCUGCCAAAGUUCUCCACUGAAUCACGGCUGAAGGGAUGGAUUCCAGCGCUACCCACAUCUGGGUAACAUCCUCCUGCCCAGAGCAAUGGAAAAACCUCCAGGCGGGUCAGCAAGGGAGGUCCAUCCGUACAGCGAGCUGCUCACCGGUCUCAGCCCAGCACCAGCCACCUCGCGGGCCGGGGGCGGUAAUUAGGGCCGCG
rnacentral:lncRNA from 1 species